UAACGUCUUUACUGACUCUUCGGUUUCUUGGGCUUUAGAGUUUGAUCUUUGGCUCAGAGACUCUCUCCUUCAAGGAAGGUUGAAACGAUUGCUACAAAUAACAAACAUCUUUUCUUAUUGGUGGUUAAUGUUACAAGAAUCAUUGAUUUUCUUACGUUUGUUCCAGAUAUGGAGAUGUGAAUGAUUGGGAAGAGAAAGCUCCGAACCCUAGAAUGGCGCAUCCAUGGCCUGAGCAUUUGUACCCGUUGCACGUUGCAAUGGGUG
rnacentral:lncRNA from 1 species